rnacentral:sRNA from 1 species
CUUUCGUGCAACAAGGACACUCCACUUUGCCUUGGUCGUUCUUGCCAAAGUGGUCACGCAUCCGAUGUUCCAAAAGAUGGUUCUGGAGCCGAUGCUUGAGCAUGCUGGCGGGGAGGUAGAGCUUUUCGCGCGCCUCAGGUUCCAGAGCUUCGUCUGCCUUGCCCUGAGUGCAAGGCAGAGGAACCCGAUUAGCACCAUUAUUUUGGGAAGAAUGGAGAAGAGUGAGGGCGCUAACGACCAAGGAAUGUCAGGGGAUAUCGGUUUACUUCACAGGAAGAAACUUACCCAGUCCAUUUGGCCUUGAGAUGGCGGAUUUCCAAGAUACUUCCUAGACCGUCCGAAGACUCUGACAUUCUAUCAGGAAGAUAAAAGCGGUAGCAUAAAUCCAUUGCUCACGAGGAAGCACCUUUUUCCUAAACCCAGACUCUCCGUCAUCGCCUCCUAGAGGCUCCAAGUCCGAAAAAAAGCUGAGCUUGGUGAAGAAUUUCUUCCCUAUCCUGUUGAUGUAGGGAGGGUAGAUAACUUCCUCCAUCAUGCUCUCCAGCCGAUAGAGAAGCGCCUGUGCGAGGAUGGGUUUACCAUCGGUCUUGCUCCGAGGCAGCACGCGAGCAGCAUACCGCUGCAACCUCUCUAUCGCCCGUGGGUCCUCGGAAGAGCCCGAUUGCUCCACCAUCUGGUCGUACACUUCACGCAGACCAUCUCCAUCCACAAUUGCCUCUCCCUCGGAGUCGGUGGAGCAGAGACUCACAGCAUCCUCAUCCGCCGCCCAUCCAGUAGGUGGCAAGGCGCAGUAUCUGCCUAGAACCAGCACUUUCCGAACGUAGAACGGCAAAAUCCCCUCCAGCAGAGCAUGCAUGGGGUCAACGACGGCGUGAAGGAUUUUGUCGAAGUUCGGAAACAGGUCAAAAGCAGAAAGGUGGCCGGGCACGGUGAAGAUUGACUUCUCGAGAGCUUCAAUGUGAGCCUGCGUGGCUUUGCUUAGCUGUCCAGCCCGACGCGCGACAUGAGUCUGUCGGGCGGUCUGCGGAGCUUGCUCAAACUGGCGAAGGAAUUCGAGUUGCUGAGCCAACAUUGCUUCCGAAUGUUCUACACCUGAGCGUGCCGGGUGCUUCCUGGUACUAUGCAACUGACCAACUCGUACCAGACAUUUUGAGACAAGGCCGAUCGCAGCAAAUGGUUCCAAUCCUAGCAUAUACCUCGCGUCCUACCAAGAGAAAAAUAGCAGUCAGUAGGGAUCCAGGUAGUAUUCACACUGAGAGGUAUCUCACCGUUGGGGUAUUUCGGUGUCCUAAUCCACAAUCCAUCGCACUCUGCGCUGAGGAGAUCGACAGCCAAAGGAAGUAAAAGACGGUGAAGAAGACAACCUGGGGGUUCAUUUGGGGCAGGAGUGAUACCCAUCAGCAUCGCGAACGAAUACUGAGACCGAUAUUUGUUGGGCAGGUCGGCUAGCUGACACAUGAUAGGGCCCAUGGAUCGAGGGGAACGAUUGCGGGACUUGAAAGGGUAUGCCCAAUCGAUAGAAACGUUGAUAGUGAGAACCAGACAGCCACGUUCACGCUGGACAUCCUGAUCAUCGACCUGGUAGCAUGAUCCAUCCAACUGAUGACGGAGAAUCUUUCCUGGAUUCGCGUCUUGAAGAUAAGCCGGCCUCCCCAUCUGCUCAUCACGUUGCCUUUGCCUAGAGCGCAAAACUUAUUGAUCCUCGACAAGCCGUUCUACACCAUCAAGAGAGAAAAGAUAUUCCAACUCGGCUUGUAGUGUACGACGAGGGAAAAACUCUGUCACCAGCUUUCCGCCCUCCCUCAGAGCAGUGCCACACUCAGGACAACUGUCUGGUACCUUGUCCCACCCAUCCUUGCCUACUACAUCAACAAACACAUUCUGACACUCCUUGGUAGGGCAUUUGGGAUGCACCACCAUAGAAGGGUCGAUGUCAAGUUGACCAUACAGUGUCUUGACAUACUUGCGGAGUCGAGACCCACUCCAUAAGGGUCAUGAAGACUUGCCAUCGUCCUCCUAAAUUAGAUUCUUAUAAAAUCUAGACUAUAAAACAUAUAGAUUCAUAGCGAGGAUUGCGUUAGUUAUACGGAAUCAACCAUAGGUCUCACGAACACUAACUGACGACAGC